CUUAUCUUAAAACAAGUUGUUUCCUGAAGAAGUUAAAUAUUAUAAAAAUCUGAUCAAAAUAUUUCUCACUUUCUAGAAAGCCCGUUUUGGAAGUUGCAACCAACGCUUUUCUUUAACUGAUCUUUAAUCAAAAAAUUGAAAUUUAAAAUAAAAAAUGAUGGAAUAACUUAAGAUAUGAAACUAUAUUGGUUGAAACUUUCUAAUGAAACUUUUUAAAUGAGAAAUACUUUGACCAGAUUUUGAUGGUAUUUAACCUUUGCUCAUAUAAAUUAAUAUUUGUUCAUUAGGCUAGAAUUUGGGAGGGAUUUCCAAUGCUCAUUAUCAGCACGGUGUCCUUUUUUGGCGCUGCACUGGUUUUGUUCCUGCCGGAAACUGUCGGCCAGAAUCUUCCUCAGACUAUCAAGCAAGGCGAAGAAUUCGGAAGGGACCAACAUUUCUGGUCGUUGCCUUGCUAUCAUAAGACACACUUCAAUGGACAUCAACACUAUCACUCCUGAAGAAGAAAAAAAGAAAGGAAAGAAUAUUGUAAGCAAAUCGUGCCAUCGUAUGACAAUCAGUGUUCGUCGUUGUGCCAAUAACAACGCAAUCAAUCUGAAGAAACCUAUUCAUAGUAUUCAUAAUCAUCACUCACGUAUACAUACGCGUAUACACUCACGUCCAUAAGAUUGAUUCACCGAAUAAAACUUCCAUAAACCUUAAUAUAAGAAACAAUUCUACUUUUUAUUUGCACACACAUCGACGAAUCCCCCGAACAAAAAUAAACUGCUAAAUAUCUCUAUAAUUAAAUACAUUAAUGCUCGAUGAUCCUCGUUCAUCAUUAUACGUCUAAUCUAACUCCAUCCUAUAAUUAGGAGUUCUACGAUAACGAUCACUUAUGUUACAAUGUAUUAACCCUUAACAGCCGAACUUAAUUAUAAUUAAUUAUAGAAAAUGAAAUGCUUCAUUAUACGGAUAUUUGAAGUAAUAUUCUGUAUUAUACAGGGUGUCUGGUAAUUGAUACUGUGAUAACCAGUGGUUAGUUAAUGUGGUUAAUAACCAGUGGUACAGGAUAAUACUAUGUGAAAGGAUCUGUUGAAAAUAUAGAACGAGAGAUUUUCGUACGACGUUCGAGAGAAUGAAAUUCUGAAGCUUUGUCAACUCGUGUUCACACGACAUUCACGAAACAUAUUCAAAAUUUAUUUUCUCGAAAAUACGAAGAAUCAUCAGUUACGAAACACUCUGUACUAUAUCACAUUAUUAUAUCACUAUCGUAUUGAUAAGAAAUGUCGAUAUUAUAACUCCUUAAGACUCCCUUAAUAUUUAUUUGCGAUUCAGCUUAAUAUGUAUUUCAAUAUUAAAUUGUAAUGUGUAAUUUCAAGAUUAAAAAUAUAAAAGAAUUCAUUCCUGAUUA